UGGUUUUGACGGGUAACGGAGGAUUAGGGUUCGAUUCCGGAGAGGGAGCCUGAGAAACGGCUACCACUUCCAAGGAAGGCAGCAGGCGCGCAAAUUACCCAAUCCCAAUUCGGGGAGGUAGUGACAAGAAAUAACGAUACGGAGCGCGAUACGCGUUUUGUAAUCGGAAUGAGAACAAUUUAGACCACUUAUCGAGCACCCAUUGGAGGGCAAGUCUGGUGCCAGCAGCCGCGGUAAUUCCAGCUCCAAUAGCGUAUAUUAAUUCUGCUGCAGUUGAAAAGCUCGUAGUUGGAUCUUGAAGUGUCAUUGUGAGGGGUUUCGGUCCGCCAGAAAUUAGUGGGUACCGUCCUUCCGGCUUCAUAUGUGAUAGUGGCGCACCAUGUGCCCGGAAGGGAUUGUCAUGGUUGAAGUGUGUUCAAAGGCUUUUCGGAGCUGGCGGCCCUUCUUGGGGGAGUUUCUUUACGGGAGCCCUCUCAGUGCUCUAUCUUGUUUACUUUGAAAAAAUUAGAGUGUUUAAAGCAGGCCGUUUCGGCCACUGUAUACAUUAGCAUGGGAUAAUAGAAUAGGACAUGAGUCCAUUUUGUUGGUUUUUAUGGGUCUCGCGUAAUGAUUAACAGGGACAGUUGGGGUGACUUGUAUUUGGGGGCGAGAGGUGAAAUUCUAUGAUCCCCCAAAGACGAACUACUGCGAAAGCAUUUCACAAACAUGUUUUCAUUAAUCAAGAACGAAAGUUAGGGGAUCGAAGACGAUCAGAUACCGUCGUAGUCUUAACCAUAAACGAUGCCGACCAAGGAUGGGGAAACGUUACCAUAUACAUGACUCUCCCUGCACUUUGCGGGAAAUCACAAGUCUUUGGGUUCGGGGGGGAGUACUGUCGCAAGGCUGAAACUUAAAGGAAUUGACGGAAGGGCACCACCAGGAGUGGAGCCUGCGGCUUAAUUUGACCCAACACGGGAAAACUUACCAGGUCCAGACAUAGGGAGGAUUGACAGAUUGAGAGCUCUUUCUUGAUUCUAUGAUUGGUGGUGCAUGGCCGUUCCUAGUUCGUGGUGCGAACUGUCUGGUUAAUUCCGUUAACGAACGAGACCUUAACCUACUAAAUAGUGACUUUAAGAUGUUUGCGCUAAGGCUGGCUGCCGACCAUCUUGCGGAAGGAUCCGUUCCCCGUGAGCUGUUUCGUUGGUGUCAGUUGCAGGUCUUGAAGGGUCUACUUCUUAGGGGGACUUUUUGUGUUUAGCAAAAGGAAGUUUGAGGCAAUAACAGGUCUGUGAUGCCCUUCGAUGUUCUGGGCCGCACGCGCGCUACACUGACAAGUACAACGAGUAUAACACCUUGGCUGGGAAGUCUGGGUAAUCUUUUGAACGCUUGUCGUGAUGGGGAUAGAUGAUUGUAAUUAUUCAUCUUCAACGAGGAAUUCCUAGUAAGUGCAAGUCAUCAGCUUGCGCUGAUUUAGUCCCUGCCCUUUGUACACACCGCCCGUCGCUCCUACCGAUUGAAUGGUCCGGUGAAACCAUCGGAUUGUGGGGUCGU
rnacentral:rRNA from 1 species